CUGGGUGUGGCGCAGCUUGGUAGCGCGCUUGAAUGGGGUUCAAGAGGCCGCAGGUUCAAAUCCUGUCACCCAGA
rnacentral:tRNA from 1 species